UCACUGGCGCUGUGAGGCAAAAUUCUACCGCUUCGCCACCGUGCUUUCAAGACCCUGUACCCGACACACAUUUCCUACAUUUCCAAAGCCAGUAUUUCACGGACAGACAAGAACUUUGGGACAUCCUGAAACUCUGAACGGCACUGCACAAAUGAAAUCCAACCAACGUGCCUGCCCAGCUGCUGACUGACACCUUCACUGCUGGUAAUUAAAGGGAAUUAUGCAUGGAACAUGUUCUGGAAUGUUCAGUGGGUGAUUGCAACAGUACAGCAUCAUCAAUGAAUUAUAACAACAAGCUGAUUCUCAAUUUAACCAUUAAAAAGAUGACUCUGGA